rnacentral:rRNA from 2 species
GUAGUCAUAUGCUUGUCUCAAAGAUUAAGCCAUGCAUGUCUAAGUAUAAGCAACUAUACGGUGAAACUGCGAAUGGCUCAUUAAAUCAGUUAUCGUUUAUUUGAUAGUACCUUACUACAUGGAUAACCGUGGUAAUUCUAGAGCUAAUACAUGCUAAAAACCUCGACUUCGGAAGGGGUGUAUUUAUUAGAUAAAAAACCAAUGCCCUUCGGGGCUCCUUGGUGAAUCAUAAUAACUUAACGAAUCGCAUGGCCUUGCGCCGGCGAUGGUUCAUUCAAAUUUCUGCCCUAUCAACUUUCGAUGGUAGGAUAGUGGCCUACCAUGGUAUCAACGGGUAACGGGGAAU